rnacentral:misc_RNA from 1 species
GAUGAAGAACGCAGCGAAAUGCGAUAAGUAAUGUGAAUUGCAGAAUUCAGUGAAUCAUCGAAUCUUUGAACGCACAUUGCGCCCGCCAGUAUUCUGGCGGGCAUGCCUGUUCGAGCGUCAUUUCAACCAUCAAGCCCCCGGCUUGUGUUGGGGACCUGCGGCUGCCGCAGGCCCUGAAAACCAGUGGCGGGCUCGCUGUCACACCGAGCGUAGUAGAUUUUCAUCUCGCUCAGGGCGUGCUGCGGGUUCCGGCCGUAAAAAGCCUUAUUUACCCAAGGUUGACCUCGGAUCAGGUAGGAAGACCCGCUGAACUUAAGCAUAACAAUAAGCGGAGGA